UACGAAGGGGACUAGCGUUGUUCGGAAUCACUGGGCGUAAAGGGCGCGUAGGCGGCCACCGCAAGUCGACUGUGAAAUCUCCGGGCUUAACCCGGAAAGGUCAGCCGAUACUGCGGGGCUAGAGUGCAGAAGGGGCAACUGGAAUUCUCGGUGUAGCGGUGAAAUGCGUAGAUAUUGGGAGGAACACCAGUGGCGAAGGCGGCUACCUGGACCGGAACUGACGAUCAGGCACGAAAGCGUGGGGAGCAAACAGG
rnacentral:rRNA from 1 species